GGAAGAUAUCAGCCCCCAGGGGUACUGGAACCCCUGUCAGCCUCCUGACAACCCCCUCCCAGAUCCACGCAGCACCUUUGCGCCCCGGGUGGGUCAAUGACUACGGGACAGGGGCUUUGCUGGGGGGACACUGAAAACACGUGCAUUGGAGUAUCAAGGCCAGGCAUUAACCAAGUCACCAAGAGGAACGCGCGUAUCACAGGCACACGGACAAUGCAAGAGCCAGUCUGGAGGCAGCGGGGACAAGAGGAACACCUGCACAAGAGCCUUUAACAUUGCGUGUGCUGCAGCAAUGAGGAAGACAUCAGGCUUGAGGCCCAGUUGCUAAGUGCCUGGUUCUGACCGGAUCAAGCAGAGGCUGGUAGUCUGGGGUGUGAGAACCUGAACUUCACAGGAAGAGGCAUCCACAGCUCUACCACCACAGAUAUACGGGCUAGCAAUGCCUGAUCCCUGAGCCCCAGGACCCCUAUCUGCUGUGACCCCUAGCUGAACCUGACUGUGUGCAGCACCCAGCUCUUCAGUGGACCAGGGGCAGACCGUCCCAGGGGAGAUGGAAUUCCCUUCAGGACGGGCUUCUUGAACACCAGCCUUUUCUUUGUGCCUCUUGCUUUUUGCUGCAUGGCUAUGGCCUUUGGAGAACAUCCAGUCCUUCCCAGUAGCCCCAGAACAAGCCCAGCCUAUAGAGCCUCCUCAGGACUGUAAAGAAAUGCCCAUGCCACUGCCUGCCUCCCUGUGGGCCUCACUUGGUACUGAGGGAAGCCUCUUGGAGGGCAUGCCACUGCUUUGACUGGUCCGUGGCAUCUACCUCCUAGAGAAGGACUGGAAACCUUUUAUCACAACGGGAC